rnacentral:rRNA from 1 species
UACUAUGGCCAUACCACCCUCAAUGUGCCCCAGUCUCAUCUGAUCUUGGAAGUUAAGCAGGGUCGGGCCUAGUUAGUACUGGAAUGGGAGAAUGUGCUCAUGUGCUUAUCUAUGAGACUACUUUAA